rnacentral:lncRNA from 1 species
AAAUGGGUUAACUCUGCCCCCUUUUUGAUCUGAAAGCUGUCCUUGUAAAACAACUGGAAAUUCUGUAAGAAUUGCAUCUCCUGCAACUGUUUUCUUCAUGGUCCCUUCAAAGAGUAUGUGACAUCUUAAAUGUGGGGAACAGAACUUCUACUCCAUGAAGCUGUGAUCUCGUGGGUGACAGGACUGGGAGACAUAUGUAGUAGGAGAAUCAACUGUAGGCAAACAUCACUCAGGGCUGUUUUCAAGGACACCCAAGGAUCAAGGUCCCGUGUCAUUCCCAUGAGUUCCACACUGCUGCUUCAUCAUCCCUGGUGCUGGAAAGCAGGCCCUCAAUUUCACCUGGAUAUUUCUGUCAUUUAAAGACCAUCAUUUCUUGCCCUAUCCCAGAACAUCAUUGUGUAUGUAUGCUCUGCCUGCUUUAAUGUAGUGUUUGCUUUUCAGAGAGAGCACAGAAGCAAAGGAAGCUAAGUUGUGCCUUGGAAAGUGGCUGGCAAGCCUUUCUGGCUAAGCAAGGUUUUGACCGGAAGACUAAAAACUCAGCUUAUAUUGUACCUGUAUGGCUUUAAAGCCAGGUGUAUUGGCUGCUAGAAUGUAAUGAGUGGAUACCACAACAGGAAUAUGAGAAGAUUUAUUGCUAAGACCGUGAGGUGGUGGAGUCUGUGCUUGUGAUCUGUCGUGUGGCAAGAGCAAGAAACAGCAGUAACCAAGACCUUGUUCAGGUUGCCAUCGACACUCGGUACUGCUAUGUACCUUCUGCAUGGAGACUGCAGAAACCUUGCGAAGCUCCAUGGUUGCUGGGCCGCUUUCUGGCCAUUCUAGUGAUGCAACCUGACAAGCCAUAGCACCAACAGUGGGGAAGGAAGAACUGUAUGAGCCUGCCUAACUCCAGGCUGAAGCUGUUGUGUGAGGAGGAAUCCAGUUGCACAAACCUCAACAGAAGUCAUGCCACACCAUGUUGCUGUGGGAGAAUGUUCUCAUCUCUAUUUCCUUUGGGAUGUUUGAAAUCAUGAGAUUUGUGUGCAUGUUAAGUGCCUACUAUUUUCAGUGUCCUGUUUAAGGUGCAGUCUAUAAUGCAGCUGGGAAAAAGAGAACACAGAUUUGAGAGAGGUUUCUCCUUACAUAUACCCUUUGGAGGUUUGGAGCAGACCACCUGGGAGUUCAUAAACUCCUGAGGGACUGAUGAGAUCCCCCCUGCAUGUGAAAUUUCUAAAAUAUACUCUAACUUUGGUUGCAAAUGUUCCAGGGUCAAAUAGUCCCAAAUAGGCACUCAAAUAAGUAGGAGGAAGGGGCCAAUGAGGACCUCAUGAAAUUCAGCCAGAAUGAAUGCUGAGUCCUGCACCUGUGAAGGAUGAACCCUAGAGCUGAUAGAGGCUGGAGAGUGGCUUGGCAGGAAAGGCCUUGAAUGCCUUCACUUAGAGGUGGUGGGCUCUUCUCAGCACAUCUGAAGGAAGGACAAGAGACAGAGUAGCCUUGUCUGAGCUCAGACCUAACCUUGCUUUGAGCAAGAAGUUAAACUCAGGAUGUCCCGAUGUCCCUUCCCACCUGAGUUAUCCUGUGCUCCUGUGCUGCCUUUAGAAGUCUGAGGCUCCCAUCCCCAGUCUGCCUCCAUCUUGCUGUGAGAAGCUGCCUCAGCCUCCCUGGUUUUUGUCUCCCGUUUUGAACCAUGUUCUGUAAAGUGAUUUCUAUUCCAAAGCAGCAGAGUCGUGUUAUGGCCAUGUUCUGAUUUAUUGUGUUUGCAUACAGUCAUGAGCUGCAGUGGAGCUAUACAUUUCUCUGAGUGAAGGGGGUAGGUUACAUGCUUUAUUACCCAUUACAGGGCUUUGAAAUAACCGGUCUCUUACUGUGAAUAUAUUAUUAUUUUUCCUAACAGCAAAGCUGAACUGCGAGUCUGCAUGGUGUGCAUGGUGGUGCCACUAGAUGUCCCUUGUCACCCAAGUGAUGUUGGUGGCUCAUCCCCAGUGCUAUAUGAUGUAGCACUGUAAAGAAAUCAGUGUUUAAAGCAUUCGAUAUAGAGAGAUGUUGUGGCUGUCUCAAAAAGAAGACUUGUGUUAUCCUCAGAAAGCUGACAUCUUGGCGAGGACAUCUGUGCCACUCAGCAUGCCUAUGCCCUUGCACAGCUUCACCUGGGCUUCUGUGGAGUGAUUCCUGCUCGCCCUUGUCCCCCAUGGUGCUCUGUGCACCUACCAUUGCUGUAUGAGUAGGGGGAUGCGCCUGUCCCCAUGCUGCCCUGAAAGCUUCUGUGCCGUGUUAUCAGCCCCAGGAUGUGUCGCUGCAGUGUGUGAUCGCGCAGACCAUGCUGUUGAGUAUUCAGAGUCACAUACGCUCGCCUGAAUGACUGAAAUGAAGUAUUUGCUGCUUUCUACUUCAUUUAAACCUGCGGGAGCUGGUAGUGCUCAUCCUCCCCACACACUGAGGUAUCCACACGUGCCACUUGCCAGCCUGGGGCUUCUUCCCCAAGCAAUGGCUGAGCAAAUCUCUUAAUAACAGAGCAACUACUCGCAGAUUAUUGUGAUCAUAAUUUGGCUGACAUAGCCUUUAUUACUAAUGGCAAUGCUGGAAAUGGAAAACCCAGCUUGAUGCUCAGCUCCCUGCUGGAAAGUAAUAAAAUAAAGAGGAACAAAAUCAGUGAGUGUAUUUGCUACCAAACCUUUGAAAAACACAAAAGUGGAACCCUGCCAAUGCUCUUGCUGGCGGUUUUUCAGACCAGAGCCUCUCUCCAAGGUAGGAUUAGAAGUGGAAGUGCAUUUGUAUCUAUGACAUUAGUAUCAUGUUGUUGUGUAUGAAUGGAGGAUUUGCAAUCAUUUGACAUCUAUUGGUUUCUAUUGCAAUUAUGGCGCGCUGCUUUUUUUUUUACCUUCAGCAUAUUCUUUAACUUCUUCCAGUCAUGGAAUAAGUAGAAAACAACUUCAGUUAUUGUCACAAACAAACAAACAAAGACAAGUGUUUAUUUUGCCAACUCAAAGAAUGGUCAAAAGAGGAAUUUCAUUGAAAAUGUUCUGAUAAAAAUGGAGGAUGUCGCAGCUUUUCAGUGAGGUCUUUGUUGACAACAUGAGCUGAGGGAGGUUGGCUUUUACAUAGCCUCUUUUGUCCAUCUUUGUGCAAUGGCAGAAUUCACAGCUAAAUUCUGAUGGCAGAAAUUUCUUGUCUGAGAAUGGUAUGAUAUCAUAUAGAUUAAUAAAAAAAAAACAUCCCCAGACCAUAGCUCGGAUUUUGAAUACCAGAAUGAGCCUUCAGUGCUAAGGAAUGAGCCUCCAGUGCUAAGAAUACAGAAAAAGCUAUUAAUUUUUUUUCUUAAACAUAAAGAGAACCGCUUGAUAAAAUCAGUUGCAAAUAAAGGAGGAAUGUAAAUGCACUUUUCAAUUAUUUUUUUAUUUCCCUCCCUCUCUCUCUCUUUUUUUUUUUUUUCCAUGUUAAUACUUCUUUGGAUCUUGGUUCAUAACCAUCCAGUAAUUAUAAUUAUAAAGGAAACUAACUUUUACCGUGCUAAUUAAACUGUAUGUCACAUAGGCAUUCGGGGAGAAUUUCCCAUGCUUUCUAGCAUGAAUGGAAGGAAAGAGCAGCGGUGCUCAAUUUAAACUCGAUUUUUUUCUGGUACCUUGCAAAAAGGCUUCAUUGUAUUUUGAUUAAUCCAUGCUUGGUCCACCUCGGAUGUUUCCAUGGAAACAGAAUUUUUUUUUUCUUGAUGGCAACUGUUAGGCUCAGGAAGGUUCCUCUCCACACAAAACCACUCUGGCUCCUAAAGAACUACUUGUUGGAAAUUUAAUGUGCAUAAACAAAACUCCCAAAUUCCUCCUCAGUAUUACGGCAUUAUUGUUGUCAACGCUAAUAGAGAAGUGUUUUCUUAAUGGUACAGAGUGGUGCCUUUUCACUCCACAAGAAAAUAGAAUGUUACUAUUCUUUCUGCUGCCAGAGAGCGCUUUUCUUGGUCCAGGAAAAAUUAGAUUGCAAACCUUUCAAAAUUAAAUUUUAAGAGUUCCAAUGUGUGAAUAUUAUCUAGUUCUAGGCAUAAAUCAUUUGCCUUAAUGGCUGUAAAAAAAUUAAUUAAACUUGCCUUGUCGAUUGGCAGUAAUUUGAAUAAAUUAUUCUUCUGUGUCAUAUUAUUAUUUUUUUUUUCAAAGAAAGAAAGAAUCUCUUCAUACGCACUGCUAUUAUGGUUGGAAUAGGUUUUAAAAGUCAGCCAACAGGGGGAGCAUUUGUAUGGUAUUAUUAAUGUCACAAAGUGGUUGGAAACACGACCAUAUUUUUUUUGUCUAAAAUUAUUAGAAUUCUUGACCAUUUUUUAAAAUAGAAAAGGUUUUGGUUUGGAGUGUUUCAGCUUCUGAAAAAUCAAAUCUUGACUUCUGCUGACAGUACAAGAAGCUAUUUUAAAGUGAUGGUUGGGUUUGUUGUUUGGAAAAAUUGAAGUUUUAGAGCACAGAUGAAAUAUUAUUUUGGUUGAAAAGCAAUUUUUGGUUAAAAAUAUGUGGAGGAAACCCAUUCAAGCACCUCUAAUUGAAAUUUGACUUGUUAUUUUUAUUUCAGUGACAUCCAUACCACAUCAUAUAAGAUGGCGUAGAAAUAUAAAAUGUAAAUAUGUAUAUUAGAGUAAAGCCCUGACACCAGUGCUUGUAAAAGUCAAGGCAGAGAUGAGAGAAAAAGAGCUGUUGAUUUAUUCAUCCUUCUUUUUGUUUCAUCUUUUUUCAUCAUGAGAAGGAAUCUGCCAAAUGGAAAAAGGAAGAUCUCUUUGAGUGCAAAAUAGAAUUUUCAAGCUUUCUCCAAGCACAUACUGCGAAUAGGAAGUAUACAUCAAG